UUUGAAAGGUCACUGUGUGUCUGGGAAAAGAGUCUCAGGAUACAAUCCUUUAUUAAAGGUCACUAUUUUUCAACGGCACUUAACACACACUUACACACAAAUUGAGACUGAAAAAAAAAACCUAGGGGGCUGCCUCCCAUUGUAUAUUGUGCUGGCAAGAUUUAUGUCUUGUGGUCACCAGCAAUAAACACACACCGCUUCAGUAUUAAAGUUCACAUUAAUCCACAGAUUUCCCCCCCCCCUUCUAAAUCAGCCCCUCUCUUUGCAAGGCAAACAGUGGCAAGCCAAGACUUUGGUUAAUCUCUUUUGUUUCUGCUCCUCCGUCUUCUACCCUCAUUGUGAGAGAUUUUGGUUGAUGUGAUUGGAGGCAUAACUCGACAUUUGCUGUUUGCACCUCAUCUGGAUUUGACUUGUUAAAGGUUAGUUCCUUUGUAAUGUCUUCAGCACCUCUCCAUGGUUAUUGAUUGUGCUCUCAUUAAAACGGCGAGAUCAUAAAGCAGCAGCAGAACUGGCAGAGGCAGGAGACAGCCAAGGAGGAAUGGCCCCUCACUCCUAAGGUGUUCUGAAAAGCAACAAGAAGAUGCACCAGGGGGCCCCUGGAACAUCUGGAGAAAGAGAGUGGCAUUGCCAGACUUGUGAUUUAGGAAUCUCACUUCGGCAGCUGUAUGGACAGCGGACUUCCAGGUAGCUGCUUUCUAAACUGGUUGUCCAGCUCCAAAACAGAAACCUCACCUAUGCAUCCUUUGUACCUUCACAAUGAAAGCUUUUAAAAUCCUUCAGCUGAAGCAGCUCAGCUCCAAUUGCCAGCAAAGCUUGAGCACCCUUGAGACCCUGGUACAGAUAAUCAUCAUCCACUCAGUGACAAGAAACAGAGAGCUGCUUCGGUACCAAGGAGACAGAAUGUGGCAGGGCACCAAGAUGCCAUCUUAAACCUAUCCCAGCAGCAGCAGCAGCAGCAGCAGCAGUAGCAGCAGUAGCAGCAGCAGCAAACAGCAGCAGCAGCAGCAGCAGCAUACAAGGAUGUAUAGGCGUGAGGUGUGGAGUUUUGUUGGGUUUUUUUUUUCCUUCCCCCUCCUCUUUGAGUAUGCUCUCCCAGUAGGGAUGCUGUUAACAUGGUUUCCACUACCCAGUGCCUGCCGGACCAAAUUGAAC